rnacentral:lncRNA from 1 species
UUAUAAACAAAGGUAGAUCUUAAGCAAACCGAGCUCGAGCUCGAAUUUUUUGUUAUCUAAAAGAACCAAAACAUUAAACGUUUCUUGGUCAAACUGGUGGACCAAGCGAUGGCAACAGCAUGACACAAUCAUUUAAAAUUUUAAAUAAACAAACCUCUUAUAUUUUGCCAAUAGUCAUCCCAAAACAGCAAAACCAUAAACAAUAAAUCGAGUAAGAGAAAUGAAGGAGAAGAUCGAAACUAAUAAACGAGAGAUCUGGAAGAAGAAAAUAGAAUAUGAAAACAAUGAUUUUGAAUCUCAGAGAACACAGAUUUUCAUUUACGGUCACGAUAUAUUUGAAGUCUGGAAAUAUGAUGCCCAGCUGCUCGGAAUGAUCUUGAUCGAUGGUAGCUGGCCGGCGAUAAACACGUUGAGGAGGAGAGGAAGAAAUCGAGUAAGAAAAAUGGAGGGAAGCUGGAAAAUUGGUGGGAGGAUCCGAAAAAGGUUGGAAUAUGAAAAAGUUUAGGGAUUUAAGAUUUUAUGAGGUGAAAAUAAGGUUUAAAUCA